rnacentral:rRNA from 1 species
AAAGAUUAAGCCAUGCAUGUCUAAGAACAUUUGCGUAAACAUGAAUCUGCGAACGGCUCAUUAUUAACACCCGUAAUCUACCCAGUUUUCGUAUCCAAAACGGAUAUCUGCGUUAAUUUUGGAGCUAAUACGUGCACCAAAGCACCGCCAGCAAUGGUAGUGCGCACAUAUUAGAUCAAGACCUAUUGGGGCAACCCACUUGAUGACUCUGAAUAUUUUUGCGGAUCGCAUGGUCUUGUACCGGCGACGUACUGGUCGAGCGGGUGCCCUAUCAACUAUUGAUGGAAGUCUAUGUGUCUUCCAUGGUUGUAACGGGUAACGGAGAAUAAGGGUUCGACUCCGGAGAGCUAGCCUUAGAAACGGCUAUCACAUCCAAGGAAGGCAGCAGGCGCGUAAAUUACCCACUCUCAAUUCGAGGAGGUAGUGACUAUCAAUAACGAGACAGAUCUCUUUGAGGUCUGUCAUUGAAAUGAGCACAACUUAAAGACUUUAACGAAGUCUAUGGGAGGGCAAGUCCGGUGCCAGCAGCCGCGGUAAUUCCAGCUCCCAACGUGUAUAUCGUCAUUGCUGCGGUUAAAAAGCUCGUAGUUGGAUCUAAGUUCAUGACUGUAGUUCUCCAUGUGAGAUACUGCUAGUCUGGACUGUUUCGCCGGUUUUCCGUAGCUUCGGCUGCGGUGACUGGUGUUGUAACUUUGAUUAAAUCAAUGUGAUUAAAACAGGCGUUUGCUUGAAUGCUUUAUCAUGGAAUAAUAGAAUAUGACUUCGGUCCAUUCUGUUGGUCUUGGGAUUGAAGUAAUGAUUAAAAGGAACAACUCGGGGGCAUCCGUAUCGCUGCGUGAGAGGUGAAAUUCUUGGACCGCAGCGAGACGACCUAUUGCGAAAGCAUUUGCCAAGAAUG